UACAGAGGUCUCAAGCGUUGUUCGGAUUCAUUGGGCGUAAAGGGUGCGUAGGCGGCGCGGUAAGUCGGGUGUGAAAUCUCGGAGCUUAACUCCGAAACUGCAUUCGAUACUGCCGUGCUUGAGGACUGGAGGGGAGACUGGAAUUUACGGUGUAGCGGUGAAAUGCGUAGAUAUCGUAAGGAAGACCAGUGGCGAAGGCGGGUCUCUGGGCCACUACUGACGCUGAGAAGCGAAAGCAUGGGGAGCGAACAGG
rnacentral:rRNA from 1 species